rnacentral:rRNA from 1 species
GUCAGCGGCAGACGGGUGAGUAACACGUGGGAACGUGCCCUUCGGUUCGGAAUAACUCAGGGAAACUUGAGCUAAUACCGGAUACGCCCUUAUGGGGAAAGGUUUACUGCCGAAGGAUCGGCCCGCGUCUGAUUAGCUUGUUGGUGGGGUAACGGCCUACCAAGGCGACGAUCAGUAGCUGGUCUGAGAGGAUGAUCAGCCACACUGGGACUGAGACACGGCCCAGACUCCGACGGGAGGCAGCAGUGGGGAAUAUUGGACAAUGGGCGCAAGCCUGAUCCAGCCAUGCCGCGUGAGUGAUGAAGGCCUUAGGGUUGUAAAGCUCUUUUGUCCGGGACGAUAAUGACGGUACCGGAAGAAUAAGCCCCGGCUAACUUCGUGCCAGCAGCCGCGGUAAUACGAAGGGGGCUAGCGUUGCUCGGAAUCACUGGGCGUAAAGGGCGCGUAGGCGG